UUUCUCAGUUUCCUCCAUACAGAACUGUUUCGUUUUAGCACACCUUCUACAGAUGCCAUCAAGGCAAAAUGGGAGGAAGAACUAGGGACUGACAUUUCGGUGGCUGACUGGGAAGAGAGCUUGGAGUAUAUCCACACAUGCUCCAUUAACUCCAGACAUCGUCUCAUACAUUUCAAGAGAGAUAUUAAUUUCUGUCGGCGCAACGCAAAAGAAUCCUGGUGGCUGUACCGACUCCAACAACAUGUCCCAAGAGAACCAUGUUUCCAUGAAACAGAAGACUGGACAUUGUCGAGUAUUAUACUCGGAAGCGGUGGGUGAUGUGCACGCCUCCAAAGUUUGACCAGGAGCCCGCUUCGUCUACCUCUUUUGCGGCGAUGUUGUUUUGGGUUGGCCUCUGGAAUCAGAUCACAUGCCCUGGGUGGUGGUGCGAACAAAGGAUCCGCUUCGGGAAAGUUGUAUUCCUGGUCGUAAUGUUGG
ensembl:lncRNA